GCAACUCCGCCGCUUUGAGCGACACAUGUGCGUUCUGCGCAUGCGCAAGUUCUAGCCACGACGGCGCGGCCAGUCGGCGUUCUGAGCCUAUGGAGGUUGGUGGUGCGGCGAAAGAGUUUUAGUUUUUUUUGUGAGCAUUUCAUUGAGUUCGUCGAAGAAUCGGAUAUUUUCUGAGAUCUUGAUCAAGAUGGGGAGGGAUCAUGAUGGAAGCUCAUGGUGUGGUGCCAUCAAUUGCAGCACUUACAAAAAACGCAAUCCUGAGCUGAAGUUCCACAGGUUUCCUAAAGAUGCUGAAAGAUGCAAAAAAUGGGUGCAAAAUUGCAGAAGAGAGGACCUGAGAAACAAGAGUACAGAGUAUUUGUACAAGAAUGUUUACUUGUGUUCCCGGCACUUUGAGACUUCACAGUACAACACGAGUGGAAAGUACCUUCUGCGCACUGCUGUGCCAACUCUUUUUGACGUGCCUAACCCUCCAGCUACUUUGGCAACAAAAAGGGUUCUGCAUGAGCGCCAAGAUCCACCGGCUAAAAAAGCAAAGAAAGAGCCUGCUGGACCGUGCAUGGACUGGUCAUCCAUGGACAUUGUCUUCUCGCCUGAGGCUGACCUCGGAGCAGAGGAAACUGGAGAUGGCGAACGUGUUGCGCCUUCUGCAUCGAUUUCGCCAAGUGAUGAUGGAGACUGUGACGCGGAUGCAACCGGUGAGGAGUCCAAGGAAAAUCACCCUGUGUCAUCU